CCCUGCUAGUCCACUUCAGACCCACCACCUCCUCCCCUCCCUAAAGAACCUCCCUCCAGGAAGUCCUUUCACAACGCACUCAUCGUCAUCCACAGAGCCGUAGUCUUCAUCCUGUCCUCCGGGGGCAGAAAGCAGAAGGAGGGGCAGACGUGUGGCGUAAUCCUUGAGGUUACGAGUCGGUGAUUGAGCGGAACUGGCCCAGGAGUUGGAGUGGGGGGUAAUCCCUGAGGUGAAGGGUCCUACCCUGGGGGGUAAUCCCUGAGGUGAAGGGGUCCUACCCUAGGGGGUAAUCCCUGAGGUGAAGGGUCCAACCCUGGGGGGUAAUCCCUGAGGUGAUGGGUCCUACCCUGGGGGGUAAUCCCUGAGGUGAAGGGGUCCUACCCUAGGGGGUAAUCCCUGAGGUGAAGGGUCCAACCCUGGGGGGUAAUCCCUGAGGUGAUGGGUCCUACCCUGGGGGGUAAUCCCAGAGGUGAGGGUCCUACCCUGGGGGGUAAUCCCUGAGGUGAAGGGUCCUACCCUGGGGGGUAAUCCCUGAGGUGGAGGGUCCUACCCUGGGGGGUAAUCCCUGAGGUGAAGGGUCCUACAGUGGGGGGGUGGGGGUCGUCAGUAGGUUAUGAUGAGUGUCAGUAUCCUGUUCCCUUCUGUAGGCGGGGCCAAGAGGGUCUAGCUGCAGACCUCUCUCUCAGGCUGAGAGAGGAUCCUGAACUGAUCCUGGACCAGUUUACAGUCCCCCCAUAGAAGAAUAACAUGACGGGAACAAUAAUUAACGUCGACUUUUGAGGGAGAAUUUAAGAAAACCUAUAUACAUGUCGCGGAAACGGUGAUCCCCUUAUAGGAAGUCCCGCCCACCCUCUCGCUAAUAUCGCCCAUUCGGAGCAUCCCGUUCCAGGCAUCCCGU
ensembl:lncRNA